rnacentral:sRNA from 1 species
AUUAUAUAACUGUAUUUUAAUUGUUAGUUAUAGGAUUUCACCCAUUGUAUACCGUCUCGUAUUACUAUAAACCCAAAUCCGUCUUACCUCAGUGAAAUUAAAUAUAUUUAAUGGAUUUUACCAGUGGUAUACUGUCUCAUAUUACUAUCGAUCCAAACCCGUCCUACCAUCUAACCCCGUUCAGUAAAAUUAAACAUU